rnacentral:rRNA from 1 species
CCCUGCCAUUUGUACACACCGCCCGUCGCUACUACCGAUUGAAUGGCUUAGUGAGCUCCAUGGACUGUUACGUAGUGUUGGGUUUCCUUCACUGCUUUACGGGAAGUGGAUCAAACUUGAUCAUUUAG